rnacentral:rRNA from 1 species
AUGAACGCUUGCGGCGGGGAGGAUACAUGCAAGUCGAGCGCACGGACGAGAAGCGUGCUUCUCUGAUGUUAGCGGCGGACGGGUGAGUAACACGUGGAUAACCUACCUAUAAGACUGGGAUAACUUCGGGAAACCGGAGCUAAUACCGGAUGAUAUUUUGAACCGCAUGGUUCAAAAGUGAAAGACGGUCUUGCUGUCACUUAUAGAUGGAUCCGCGCUGCAUUAGCUAGUUGGUAAGGUAACGGCUUACCAAGGCAACGAUGCAUAGCCGACCUGAGAGGGUGCACGGCCACACUGGAACUGAGACACGGUCCAGACUCCUACGGGAGGCAGCAGUAGGGAAUCUUCCGCAAUGGGCGAAAGCCUGACGGAGCAACGCCGCGUGAGUGAUGAAGGUCUUCGGAUCGUAACCCUCUGUUCUUAGGGAAGAACAUAUGUGUAAGUAACUGUGCACAUCUUGACGGUACCUAAUCAGAAAGCCACGGCUAACUACGUG